GGAGAGGGUUACAGAUGGCCCAGGAUGCAGACAGGCAAGGGUUGCAACUACUAUCUAUAUCCAUCAAGCAAGCAAUCUAGAACUUGGAGGCUUCACACAGUGAUUUGUGAUUGUACGGGAUUCUGUGGCUUGGACACAUCUGUGUAGAUCUGUUGAGUUUACCUGGGUUUACUUAGGGGGCUGCACUGAACCGGGAAUGUUGGCAUGGCUCAAGGAAGAACCUGUGUGGUCACAGGUGCAGACAGGUACCUGGGAAGAGCUUUGUGACUCCCCCCAGCUCCAGUAUCCUAGCGCUUUGUUGGGGUGGUCUCUGGGCGCUAGGAGUUUGGUAGCAAAAGCUAAUAGAUUGUGUAAGUCCUGGCUCUGGAGCUCAGGGGACAAACUUAACACACAGUUGGUCAAAGGCCAUCAUAAGGCCAAUCCAGUCAAAGGGGCUUAAGAAGGCAGACUCCUGCUCUGAGACAGAGGAGCAGAGAUGUGGCCAGUAGGAGCACAGGGGACAGGACAGUGGCCAAGCACCUUCUUGCAGGCAUGCAGUCUUGAGUUUGAACCCCAGAGCCCACAUAGAAUGUAGAAGUGUGUCUUUUAAUUCAACCCUGAGGAAGAUGGGGCCCAGAGGACUUGGGGCUCACUGGAAAGCCAGUCUAGCUGAGUUGGUGAGCUCCAAGCCCACAAAAGACCUUGCCUCAUAGACAAACAGCAUUCCUGAGGACGACGCCGAGUUUGCGUUGCACUGAUAGGCACACACGUGCACCUGUGUAGACACACAUGUUUUAUAUUUUGGGGGGCAGGGGAGACAGGAGCUCUCUACGAAGACCAGGCUGUUCUCAAACUCACAGAGAUCCUCCUGCCUCUCCCUCCCAAGUUCUGAAACUCAAGACACAUGUCACCACGCCUAGUCUCAUUUGUAUUUUUAAAUCUUAUUUUAGUCUUCCUCUGUGUAGGAGGGAGUGUUUAUGUGCUUAUGUGUGUGAGUGCAGGUGCCUUCGGAGGUCAGGGACAUCAGAUGCCCUGGAGUUGGAAUUAUAGGUAAUUGUGAACCCUUCCCCCACAUGCAGACAUUUAAAAAAAAAGGAGGGGGGGGAGAGAGGAAGGAAGGAAGGAAGGAAGGAAGGAAGGAAGGAAGAGACAUCCUAUUAUGGAGGGGUCAGUUGAAUAAAAUGGAGUUCACAGAGGACCCUUAUCAUAAUGAGCAUGUGACCCCUCUGGGCAUCUGACACCGUGCCAGCACCCCAGAUGUGCACACAAAUGUACAUAGGUGUAUAUUUUCACCAGAAUGGCCAAGCUGGUAUUUACCACUUAUACCCAAAGAACUGUCAAUGACAUGUGUCAGGCCUAUUGAGUAGACGACUUUUCCUUGGCUCUGGCAUCUAAGAACACGUUCACUGUCCUGGUUAUCAGGUGGUGACAUUAAACCCUUGAGAUGUUUGUUGAGCAGGGUGCGGUGGCGCACGCCUUUAAUCCCAGCACUCUGGAGGCAGAGGCAGGCGGAUUUCUGAGUUCGAGGCCAGCCUGGUCUACAAAGUGAGUUCCAGGACAGCCAGGAAUAUACAGAGAAACCCUGUCUCGAAAAACAAACAAAAAAAAAAAACCAAAAAAACCUUGAGAUGUGACUUGUCUCCACCCACUGAUACAGUGGUGGCGCACUUUGCUCGUAUCUCACUGAUGUGACUCCCAGUUCCUUGGUAGGAAAAAGAAUAGGACCUAACACAGUGAGUCCAAUCAAAAUGAAGUUUCCCAGUGACUCAGAGUCAUAGCCUGAAUAUCCAAGGGACUCUACUAUGACAUAAACCCAAGCGCUAAGGAACCAAGGACAGUCCCCUCCUCUGUGCAAAGGAAAAUAGAGACAAUGCGAGACAGUGGUAGCACUGGGAAGAAAGAAACGAGAUUGGUGGCGCCUUAGAAAAGGCACCACCUGGCUCAGUUAGGGUUCCCAUUGCUGCAAAGAGAAGCAAGGUACCAAGGUAGCUCUUAUAAUGACAUUUAUAAGCUCAUAUAAAAAACAUUUAAUUGGGGCUGGCUUACGGGUUUAGAGGUUCAGUCCAUUAUCAUCACGGCAGCAUCCAGGCAGGCAUGGGGCUGGAGGAGCAGAGAGUUCUACAUCUUGAUGGGAAGGUAGCCAGAAGAUAGUCUUCUGCAGGCAGGCAGGAGGAGGCUUUCUUCUGCACUGGGCAGAGCCUGAGUUUAGGACCUCAAAUCCCAACCCCCACACUUCCUCUAACAAGGCCAUGCCCACUCAAACAAGGGCACACCUCCUAAUAGUGUCACUCCCUGUGGGCCAAGCAUUCAAACACAUGAGUCUGUGGGGGCCAAACCUACUCAAACCACUACAGACAGCCUGAGAGGCUUUUGACUUCUGAGUGAUUCGUACAGGAACUAAAAACUGGCUGGGGUCUGUCUGACCCAAAACUUGUUUACAAGAUAUCAGAAGAUAUAUUAAUUGUUAUUGUAGGAAAAUGCAAAAUGUCCUGGGGUUGGAGAGAUGGCUCAGCGGUUAGGAGCACUGGCUGCUCUUCCAGAGUUUCUGAGUUCAAUUCCCAGCACCCGCAUGGUGGCUCACAACCAUCUGUGACAGGAUCUGAUGCCCUCUCCUGGCAUGCAGGUGCACAUGCAGACAGGGCAUUCAUAUACAUAAAAUAUAUGAAUAAAUACAUCUUUUUAUAAUGUGCUAAAAAG
rnacentral:lncRNA from 1 species